CAGCCGCCACGGUAAUACGGAGGGUGCAAGCGUUAAUCGGAAUUACUGGGCGUAAAGCGCACGCAGGCGGUUUGUUAAGUCAGAUGUGAAAUCCCCGAGCUUAACUUGGGAACUGCAUUUGAAACUGGCAAGCUAGAGUCUUGUAGAGGGGGGUAGAAUUCCAGGUGUAGCGGUGAAAUGCGUAGAGAUCUGGAGGAAUACCGGUGGCGAAGGCGGCCCCCUGGACAAAGACUGACGCUCAGGUGCGAAAGCGUGGGGAGCAAACAGGAUUAGAUACCCGGGUAGUCCCUGUCUCUUAUAC
rnacentral:rRNA from 1 species